rnacentral:rRNA from 1 species
AUUGAACGCUGGCGGCAGGCCUAACACAUGCAAGUCGAACGGUAACAGGAAACAGCUUGCUGUUUCGCUGACGAGUGGCGGACGGGUGAGUAAUGUCUGGGAAACUGCCUGAUGGAGGGGGAUAACUACUGGAAACGGUAGCUAAUACCGCAUAACGUCGCAAGACCAAAGAGGGGGACCUUCGGGCCGCUUGCCAUCGGAUGUGCCCAGAUGGGAUUAGCUAGUAGGUGGGGUAACGGCUCACCUAGGCGACGAUCCCUAGCUGGUCUGAGAGGAUGACCAGCCACACUGGAACUGAGACACGGUCCAGACUCCUACGGAAGGCAGCAGUGGGGAAUAUUGCACAAUGGGCGCAAGCCUGAUGCAGCCAUGCCGCGUGUAUGAAGAAGGCCUUCGGGUUGUAAAGUACUUUCAGCGGGGAGGAAGGGAGUAAAGUUAAUACCUUUGCUCAUUGACGUUACCCGCAGAAGAAGCACCGGCUAACUCCGUGCCAGCAGCCGCCGUAA